rnacentral:rRNA from 1 species
GAUGAACGCUGGCGGCGUGCCUAAUACAUGCAAGUCGAGCGAACAGACGAGGAGCUUGCUCCUCUGACGUUAGCGGUGGACGGGUGAGUAACACGUGGAUAACCUACCUAUAAGACUGGGAUAACUUCGGGAAACCGGAGCUAAUACCGGAUAACAUGUUGAACCGCAUGGUUCAACAGUGAAAGACGGUCUUGCUGUCACUUAUAGAUGGAUCCGCGCCGCAUUAGCUAGUUGGUAAGGUAACGGCUUACCAAGGCAACGAUGCGUAGCCGACCUGAGAGGGUGAUCGGCCACACUGGAACUGAGACACGGUCCAGACUCCUACGGGAGGCAGCAGUAGGGAAUCUUCCGCAAUGGGCGAAAGCCUGACGGAGCAACGCCGCGUGAGUGAAGAAGGUCUUCGGAUCGUAAAACUCUGUUAUUAGGGAAGAACAAAUGUGUAAGUAACUAUGCACGUCUUGACGGUACCUAAUCAGAAAGCCACGGCUAACUACGUGCCAGCAGCCGCGGUAAUACGUAGGUGGCAAGCGUUAUCCGGAAUUAUUGGGCGUAAAGCGCGCGUAGGCGGUUUUUUAAGUCUGAUGUGAAAGCCCACGGCUCAACCGUGGAGGGUCAUUGGAAACUGGAAAACUUGAGUGCAGAAGAGGAGAGUGGAAUUCCAUGUGUAGCGGUGAAAUGCGCAGAGAUAUGGAGGAACACCAGUGGCGAAGGCGACUUUCUGGUCUGUAACUGACGCUGAUGUGCGAAAGCGUGGGGAUCAAACAGG